GAUGAACGCUGGCGGCGUGCCUAAUACAUGCAAGUCGAGCGAACAGAUGAGGAGCUUGCUCCUCUGACAUUAGCGGCGGACGGGUGAGUAACACGUGGAUAACCUACCUAUAAGACUGGGAUAACUUCGGGAAACCGGAGCUAAUACCGGAUAAUAUAUUGAACCGCAUGGUUCAAUAGUGAAAGACGGUUUUGCUGUCACUUAUAGAUGGAUCCGCGCCGCAUUAGCUAGUUGGUAAGGUAACGGCUUACCAAGGCGACGAUGCGUAGCCGACCUGAGAGGGUGAUCGGCCACACUGGAACUGAGACACGGUCCAGACUCCUACGGGAGGCAGCAGUAGGGAAUCUUCCGCAAUGGGCGAAAGCCUGACGGAGCAACGCCGCGUGAGUGAUGUAGGUCUUCGGAUCGUAAAACUCUGUUAUUAGGGAAGAACAAAUGUGUAAGUAACUAUGCACGUCUUGACGGUACCUAAUCAGAAAGCCACGGCUAACUACGUG
rnacentral:rRNA from 1 species